rnacentral:rRNA from 1 species
UGGGGAAUAUUGGGCAAUGGGGGAAACCCUGACCCAGCAACGCCGCGUGAGUGAAGAAGGCCUUCGGGUUGUAAAGCUCUGUCAUUAGGGAAGAAGAAGUGACGGUACCUAAUGAGGAAGCCCCGGCUAACUACGUGCCAGCAGCCGCGGUAAUACGUAGGGGGCGAGCGUUGUCCGGAAUUACUGGGCGUAAAGGGUGCGUAGGCGGCGUGUUAAGUUGGAUGUGAAAUACCCGGGCUUAACCUGGGGGGUGCAUUCGAUACUGGCAGGCUAGAGUGCAGGAGAGGGAAGCGGAAUUCCUAGUGUAGCGGUGAAAUGCGUAGAUAUUAGGAGGAACACCAGUGGCGAAGGCGGCUUUCUGGACUGUAACUGACGCUGAUGCACGAAAGCGUGGGGAGCAAACAG